UGAGCAAUCUGCCCUUCUCUUCGGAAUAAGCGUUGGAAACGACGUCUAAUGCCGAAUACGACCUCCUUUCGCAUGAUCGGAGGUGGAAAGCUCCGGCGGAGAAGGAUGAGCUCGCGGCCUAUCAGCUAGUUGGUGUGGGUAAUGGCCCACCAAGGCGACGACGGGUAGCCGGCCUGAGAGGGCGACCGGCCACACUGGGACUGAGAUACGGCCCAGACUCCGUACGGGAGGCAGCG
rnacentral:rRNA from 1 species